CGCAGCUGCAUCUUUAGCGCUCAUUUUGAAACAUUGGCUUUCCGUACUCGCGUACAAAAUUCAUUUAAAUAUUAAUAAACGAAGAUUUCCGCAAAUGAAAUCCAAACUGAGUAAUGAGCGUCGUAGCAUUGACUGGGGCGAAUUGAUUCCUCUUGCAACAAUUUUUGCAUUUGCUUUUCCUGCGCACGUUCGAGGGCAUUGAGAUUGACUACAUCGCUAUAAUGCAAAGGUUUGUAAAAUGGAUGUGGUCGUGUUGUAAUAUUAUUAAAUACAAAUUCCAGAGCACGUGGUAUGAGUCCAGGAGAAGUG